rnacentral:hammerhead_ribozyme from 1 species
AUACAGCUGACGAGUCCCAAAUAGGACGAAAUGCGCAUCCUAGAC